CGUCUAAGGCAGGGCAGAUGACUGGGGUGAAGUCGUAACAAGGUAGCCGUAGGAGAACCUGCGGCUGGAUCACCUCCUUUCUAAGGAA
rnacentral:rRNA from 1 species